rnacentral:tRNA from 2 species
GCGGAAGUGGCGGAAUUGGUAGACGCGCUGGACUUAGGAUCCAGUGGAGCAAUCCGUGGGGGUUCGAGUCCCCCCUUUCGCA